rnacentral:lncRNA from 10 species
UAUAACAUUGUAUAGAAGUUUUUAAUUAUUUUUCAGUGGAAGGAGCAUUUGCCUAAUUUACCACGUCACUAACAUUAUCUAACUCUUCAGUCAUUGUGUUGCUUGGACUCUAUUUGUUUCAACUUUUUGAAAACAUAUUUUUGGAUUUCUAAUUCUAAUUUGGACUACUGCUGUUUUACAUGCUUUACAACUGCCUUUUUCAGCUCUUUCAGGCAAUCCACUCUUUCAUAGUGGUCCACUUCCCAGUACUUUGUUCUCCCCCCUAGUUUGUUAUGUUCACCAGCAGAGGUUCACCCAUGCUCCCUGAUCCUACAGUUUGUGGAAUCUACCCACUGACAGUCCUUUCUAGUCUCUUCACUGUUGCUGCUUUAAUUUAUUCCUUUCACUUUACUGAGUUAUCUAGAACACAUUGUACUUGUUUCAUGAUUCAGAUAUAAACAAUCUCCUGUAAUCCUCAUAGAAAGCCCAACAUGUAAGUGCUAUGAUUUCCAUUUUGGGGAUGGAAAACUGAGGCACAUAGGGAGUCAGAAACUUGCUUAGGUGGGGAGUGGUGGCCCAUGUUUAUAAUCCCAGCACUUUGGAAGGCUGAGGCAGGAGGAUCACUUGAGCUUAGGUGUUUGAGAUAAGCCUGGGCAACAUAGUGAGACCGCAUCUCUACAAAAUUUUUUAAAGAAUUAGCCAGGCAUGGAGAUGUGUGCCUGUAGUCCCAUUUACUUGGGAGACUGAGGCAAGAAGGUUGCUUGAGCCUUGGGGGACGGGG